CGCCAAGCUCUGCGACUCAGCCGCCCCCGUGCACAACUAUAUACCGGCUUUGUACUACUGUUACGCGGAGAAUAUCGAUCUUCAAGCACAAAUUCCGAGGCUAAAUCCUCAGUCGACUUAUGUACAGCAGUCCGUCAAUGCUUCCACCGCUCAAGAAAACGCUUGCAGGGCACUAUCAGACAUCUCGGCACACAUGAAUGGAACUGCGGCAGCCAUUGCAAAAAAGUGCGGUGAGGAAGGCCGGCGAAUUCUGAUGGAUGGAACCGGAUAUCUUCGUGAAACUAAUUGCCCGCGUUAAGGCGUUAUAUUGUUUAUAGCCAUUUCAAUUUGUAGGUUGUAACUGUCAGAAAAUUUUACCAGUUAUUAACGCAUUGCGUCAGUAUCUUCUUUUACUCGCAAGAGAAAUCGUGCAUUUAAUAGGUUGAGAUUCUGUCACGCGAAUGGGAGCGGUUUUCGCCCGACAUGUACACAGUUGUUUUUUUUGUUGUUCUGUUGACAAUACGGCGCCUCAUUAAGCAUGAAAUAUCAAAUUUAACUUACAGUUGUUAAUACUUAAUACCACGUUGCUACUACAGUCUAUGGCUAUCGGUUG